AAAUAGCUUUAUGUUUGUGAGACUGAUGUAAUGACGAAACAUGGUUUCACAUUAUUUGUAUUUUUUUCGGCCGUCGCUAGCACUACAUGUAGGGACGAACAAGAUUUCUGUGAGAGUAAAGUUUGUAAUGAACGAGAGUUUGAGCAGAAUCACUUCUACACCAAUGAGAAGACAUAUGGAGAAAUACCACUGACUUUAUCACAUAGACUUUUAGAUGCUCUCCCUCUUGAUGAGCUGGAUGGUCCUGUUAGUCGUCCUGUGAGGGGGUG